rnacentral:rRNA from 1 species
AGUGAACGCUGGCGGUAGGCCUAACACAUGCAAGUCGAACGGCAGCACAGUAAGAGCUUGCUCUUACGGGUGGCGAGUGGCGGACGGGUGAGGAAUACAUCGGAAUCUACUUUUUCGUGGGGGAUAACGUAGGGAAACUUACGCUAAUACCGCAUACGACCUACGGGUGAAAGCAUGGGAUCUUCGGACCUUGCGCGAUUGAAUGAGCCGAUGUCGGAUUAGCUAGUUGGCGGGGUAAAGGCACACCAAGGCGACGAUCCGUAGCUGGUCUGAGAGGAUGAUCAGCCACACUGGAACUGAGACACGGUCCAGACUCCUACGGGAGGCAGCAGUGGGGAAUAUUGGACAAUGGGCGCAAGCCUGAUCCAGCCAUACCGCGUGGGUGAAGAAGGCCUUCGGGUUGUAAAGCCCUUUUGUUGGGAAAGAAAAGCAGCAGGUUAAUACCCCGCUGUUCUGACGGUACCCAAAGAAUAAGCACCGGCUAACUUCGUG